UGAUGGUGAAAAUUACAUUUUUUAUCUGAAGAGAGUUGAGAGAAAUCUUCAAAUUGAAACGAGAUAUUGUGUAAAGAGGUUUUCAAAGAAGUCGUUUUAACAACAAUUGAAAAGCUUCCGAUUCCUGAGAUAACCGUGAAAGCAUUCGAUACAUGAUUAAAGAAUCGUUUAAAAGUUUGCCUAAUUUCGACAGUGUAAUUUUAAUUACUAUUUUUUUGAAAUAAACCAAUCAAUUUAUAUAUAAA
rnacentral:lncRNA from 1 species